UACAGAGGGUGCAAGCGUUAAUCGGAAUUACUGGGCGUAAAGGGUGUGUAGGUGGUUGAAUAAGUUAGUGGUGAAAUCCCUGGGCUUAACCUAGGAACGGCUGCUAAAACUAUUCAGCUGGAGUACAGUAGAGGGUAGUAGAAUUCCCGGUGUAGCAGUGAAAUGCGUAGAUAUCGGGAGGAAUACCGGUGGCGAAGGCGGCUACCUGGACUGAUACUGACACUGAAACACGAAAGCGUGGGGAGCAAACAGG
rnacentral:rRNA from 1 species